AGGUAACCUACCCUCAGGACUGAGAUAACCCCGGGAAACUGGGGCUAAUAUUAGAUAGAUAAAAGAUACUGGAAUAUUCUUUUAUCCAAAGCUUUUGCGCCUGAGGAUGGGCCUGCGUCCGAUUAGGUUGUUGGUGGGGUAAUGGCCCACCAAGCCUACGAUCGGUACGGGCAGUGGGAGCUGAAGCCCGGAGUUGGGGACUGAGACAAGGCCCCAGGCCCUACGGGGCGCAGCAGGCGCGAAACCUCUGCAAUGCGGGAAACCGUGACAGGGGGAUCCCAAGUGCUCAUGCAUUGCAUGGGCUGUUCUUUGGUCUAAGUAACCAGAGGAGUAAGGGCUGGGCAAGACCGGUGCCAGCCGCCGCGGUAAUACCGGCAGCUCAAGUGGUAGCCGCGAUUAUUGGGCCUAAAACGUUCGUAGCCGGAUAAGUAAGUCUUUGGUUAAAUCCUGCGACUUAACCGUGGGAAAUCUAGAGAUACUGCUUGUCUUGAGACCGGGAGAGGUUGGAGGUACUCCUAGGGUAGGGGUGAAAUCCUGUAAUCCUAGGGGGACCACCUGUGGCGAAGGCGUCCAACUGGAACGGGUCUGACGGUGAGGGACGAAACCUAGGGGAGCGAGCCGGAUUAGAUACCCGGGUAGUCCUAGGCGUAAAUGAUGCGAGUUAAGUGUGGGGGCAUCUACGAGAUGGCCCUGUGCUGUAGGGUAGCCGUUA
rnacentral:rRNA from 1 species